rnacentral:lncRNA from 1 species
CAUUAGUAGUUGCAUCUUUAUUGGUUAUGCAUUAGAAAAUAAAAUAAAUAUGUAUUGCAUUGCACUUAGAAAACUACUAAGCUCCAUGUAUUUAAUAUGUGAUGCAUCAGCUUACAUACUUAUCUACUGUGGUGACACAAAAAUAAGUUUUAGCAUAUUUAUUUUCCUGUCUGCAUACUAUAAAUAUGAAAAGUAAAAAAAUAUUGAUCCUGCUAAAAGAUAAAUGGGUAUAAGAAAGUUCUAGAUAUGUUAACAUCCAGC